rnacentral:rRNA from 1 species
AGUAUAGCACUUUAUACUGUGAAACUGCGAAUGGCUCAUUAAAUCAGUUAUCGUUUAUUUGAUAGUACCUUACUACAUGGAUACCUGUGGUAAUUCUAGAGCUAAUACAUGCUGAAAACCUCGACUUCGGAAGGGGUGUAUUUAUUAGAUAAAAAACCAAUGCCCUUCGGGGCUCCUUGGUGAAUCAUAAUAACUUAACGAAUCGCAUGGCCUUGCGCCGGCGAUGGUUCAUUCAAAUUUCUGCCCUAUCAACUUUCGAUGGUAGGAUAGUGGCCUACCAUGGUGGCAACGGGUAACGGGGAAUUAGGGUUCGAUUCCGGAGAGGGAGCCUGAGAAACGGCUACCACAUCCAAGGAAGGCAGCAGGCGCGCAAAUUACCCAAUCCCGACACGGGGAGGUAGUGACAAUAAAUACUGAUACGGGGCUCUUUUGGGUCUCGUAAUUGGAAUGAGUACAAUCUAAAUCCCUUAACGAGGAACAAUUGGAGGGCAAGUCUGGUGCCAGCAGCCGCGGUAAUUCCAGCUCCAAUAGCGUAUAUUAAAGUUGUUGCAGUUAAAAAGCUCGUAGUUGAACCUUGGGUCUGGCUGGCCGGUCCGCCUCACCGCGAGUACUGGUCCGGCUGGACCUUUCCUUCUGGGGAAUCUCAUGGCCUUCACUGGCUGUGGGGGGAACCAGGACUUUUACUGUGAAAAAAUUAGAGUGUUCAAAGCAGGCCUUUGCUCGAAUACAUUAGCAUGGAAUAAUAGAAUAGGACGUGCGGUUCUAUUUUGUUGGUUUCUAGGACCGCCGUAAUGAUUAAUAGGGAUAGUCGGGGGCGUCAGUAUUCAGCUGUCAGAGGUGAAAUUCUUGGAUUUGCUGAAGACUAACUACUGCGAAAGCAUUCGCCAAGGAUGUUUUCAGUUAUCAGGGAACGAAAGAUUAAGGGGAUCGAGGACUAUCAUGAUACCGUCGUAGUCUUUAGCAUUAAACUAUGCCGACUAGUGUGACCAGACGGUGUUUUUUUUUUAUGAUCAGUUUAGGCACCUUACGA